ensembl:miRNA gga-mir-1770 gga-mir-1770
UGCACCAUGGGAUGCGCGCUGCCCUCUCCCUCCCUCGCUCCCCGCACUAACAUGGCUGCGGGGGAGGAGGGAGGGGGUCAGGCUGCCGCCCCUCGCA